UAUAAGGGAUUUUGAGUUUUUGUUUACAACGUUUGACUACUCGUCUUAUUCAAAUUUUUUUAAAAUUAUUAUUUUUUUUUUUGACUUACUUUAUUAUCUACGGUACUUUAAGCACAACUUUUGUUUUUUAUAUCUGCAAAAUAAAUUUGAAUAAGACGAGUGGUCAAACGUUGCAAUCAAAAACUCAAAAUCCCUUAUA
rnacentral:pre_miRNA from 1 species